AACAGGAUUAGAUACCCUGGUAGUCCACGCCGUAAACGAUGAGUGCUAGGUGUUGGGGGGUUCCCCCUCAGUGCCGAAGGUAACCCAUUAAGCACUCCGCCUGGGGAGUACGGCCGCAAGGCUGAAACUCAAAGGAAUUGACGGGGGCCCGCACAAGCGGUGGAGCAUGUGGUUUAAUUCGAAGCAACGCGAAGAACCUUACCAGGGCUUGACAUCCCGCUGACCGCUCCAGAGAUGGGGCUUCCCUUCGGGGCAGCGGUGACAGGUGGUGCAUGGUUGUCGUCAGCUCGUGUCGUGAGAUGUUGGGUUCAGUCCCGCAACGAGCGCAACCCUUGUCGUCAGUUGCCAGCACGUAGAGGUGGGCACUCUGGCGAGACGGCCGGUGAAAGCCGGAGGAAGGUGGGGAUGACGUCAAAUCAUCAUGCCCCUUAUGUCCUGGGCUACACACGUGCUACAAUGGCCGGUACAACGGGUAGCGAACCCGCGAGGGGGAGCCAAUCCAAAAAACCGGUCUCAGUUCGGAUCGCAGGCUGCAACUCGCCUGCGUGAAGCUGGAAUCGCUAGUAAUCGCGGAUCAGCAUGCCGCGGUGAAUCCGUUCCCGGGCCUUGUACACACCGCCCGUCACACCACGAGAGUCUGCAACACCCGAAGUCGGUGAGGUAACCUUCGGGAACCAGCCGCCGAAGGUGGGGCAGAUGAUUGGGGUGAAGUCGUAACAAGGUAACC
rnacentral:rRNA from 1 species